UAAUACGGAGGGUGCAAGCGUUAUCCGGAUUCACUGGGUUUAAAGGGUGCGUAGGUGGGUUAGUAAGUCAGUGGUGAAAUCUCCGGGCUUAACUCGGAAACUGCCAUUGAUACUAUUAGUCUUGAAUACCGUGGAGGUCAGCGGAAUAUGUCAUGUAGCGGUGAAAUGCUUAGAUAUGACAUAGAACACCAAUUGCGAAGGCAGCUGGCUACACGAAUAUUGACACUGAGGCACGAAAGCGUGGGGAUCAAACAGGAUUAGAUACCCUGGUAGUCCACGCCCUAAACGAUGGAUACUCGACAUUUGCGAUAAACUGCAAGUGUCUGAGCGAAAGCAUUAAGUAUCCCACCUGGGAAGUACGAUCGCAAGAUU
rnacentral:rRNA from 1 species